AACGAACGCUGGCGGCAUGCCUAACACAUGCAAGUCGAACGAACCCUUCGGGGUUAGUGGCGCACGGGUGCGUAACGCGUGGGAAUCUGCCCUUUGCUUCGGAAUAACAGUUAGAAAUGACUGCUAAUACCGGGUGAUGUCUUCGGACCAAAGAUUUAUCGGCAAGGGAUGAGCCCGCGUAGGAUUGGGUAGUUGGCGGGGUAAAGGCCUACCAAGCCGACGAUCCUUAGCUGGUCUGAGAGGAUGAUCAGCCACACUGGGACUGGGGCACGGCCCAGACUCCUACGGAAGGCAGCAGUGGGGAAUAUUGGACCAUGGGCGAAAGCCUGAUCCAGCAAUGCCGCGUGAGUGAUGAAGGCCUUCGGGUCGUAAAGCUCUUUUACCGGGGAUGAUAAUGACAGUACCUGGAGAAUAAGCUCCGGCUAACUCCGUGCCAGCCGCCGCGGUAAAAC
rnacentral:rRNA from 1 species